rnacentral:rRNA from 1 species
AACGAACGUUAGCGGCGCGCCUAACACAUGCAAGUCGAGCGAGAAGGAAGCAAUUCCUGUAAAGCGGCGCACGGGUGAGUAACACGUAGGUAAUCUACCUCGAAGUGGUGGAUAACCUUCCGAAAGGAGGGCUAAUACAGCAUGAGACCACGGUUUCGAAAGAGAUUGAGGUCAAAGCGGGCCACUAUACAUAAGCUCGCGCUUCGAGAUGAGCCUGCGGCCCAUCAUGGUAGUUGGUAGGGUAAUGGCCUACCAAGCCGAAGACGGGUAGCUGGUCUGAGAGGAUGAUCAGCCACACUGGAACUGAGACACGGUCCAGACUCCUACGGGAGGCAGCAGUGGGGGAAUCUUGCGGCAAUGGGCGAAAGCCUGACGCAGCGACGCCGCGUGAGUGAUGAAGGCCUUCGGGUUGUAAAG